UCUUUGAGUCAAUAGUUUCUGUUACGGUCAUAUUGUGUGCUGUAGAAAUGCCUGGAACUUUAGACCCUCAACUUGUCAGCCCUACAGUGCGUAGUCCCAGAGAGGUUCAUAGGCUUGCAUAAGGAAGCGCUGGAGAGCAGUCUGAAAACAAAUGCAGAGCGCUGGAGGCUGUUUGCUCUGCAACAAAGUCUUCCUGGGAGGACGGUUGGCACCUUUCCACACCUACCACAGGGUUCCCAUACAUUCUCAUGAUGGCCUCGAUCCAGAGUCUCCUACUCACCUGAAAGCUCAUUGAUUUUUAAUAGGCUGACUCUUCACUGAAUUCUCUGGGUCCUGCUUAACUAUGCCUGUCAAUUUUGAGGUUGCAAGUGGCACAGUUAUCCAUCUCCAUUAUAGGUUUAGCAUUAUUUUUGAAAUGCUGUGAGGCUGAUGGGAUCCAAGGAGUGAGAUAUGGUGGUUUGAGUGAAAUUGUCCCGCAUAGACUCAGGUAUGUGCACACUUGGUCCACACUGUUUUGAGGUACGUACAUACUGGAGAAAGCACGUCACUGUGGGUGGAUUUUUGAAAGCUGAAAUGUCCCACCUGCUUCUAGUUUGUUUUUUCUGCUUUAUCACUGAGACAUAACAGUUCUUUGCCCUGUGCAUUUCGCACAAUUGUGCUGUCUUUAAAAUGUCAGCACUAAUGUAGUAAAUUUUUGGAGGAGCAAGCAAAACGAGAAAAACAUGAGGUAAACCUAAAAAGACGUAGUGUAUAAGUAAUGAACAUGUGUGCUUAUGCGGCUCAUAUGUUCCAAAUGAGGGACUGCAGAGAUGGCUCGGGGGUUAAAAGAGCUUCUAGAAGACCCAAAUUCUGCUCUCAGCACACAUGAUGUACAACUCAAAACUCUAUGUAACUCCACAACCAAACGGUCCAAUGCCUUCUCCUGGCUACCUGCACUUAAAUGUACAAAAUGGUGGCCAUAUAUGCACAUGAGAAUAACAACAGAAAGUCUUUUACAAAAUGACAGUGCACUAUGAGUGAACCAUAAGUAACUGAGUUACUUCCUUAUUGAUAGGCACUUACAUGGCUUCCAACUUUUUGCUUUUACAAAAUGUAAAAUUAUGAGUAUUCAAAAUAUAUGAUAUGCAUAUAAAACAUUUACACAUAUGGGAUUGUAUUAAAAUGAUGGCAUUCUGUGUGAAGUUGUUACAGGAAAGAAGAGUAGGUGCUUUCCUUUAAUUUGCUUCUAGAUAUUUAUCACCCAAUCAUUCUCUGUGUAAAUUAUAUCAAUUAUCUGGCAAAUAAACUGUUUCUCCACAUUCUUUUCAGUAUGAUUCAUCCAUACAUUUUAAUAAGUAUUUAUACAUGUUUAAACAAGACUUCUUAAUGUUGCCCAUCGAACACAAAUAAUUGGCAUCUUAAUGCGAUGUCAAAGAUGGUAUCUUUCUUUAAGAAUUUUUUUUAAAUUACUUAUUUUGUGUAUGUGUUGGUCUGUGUUUGUGCUAGUCGGUUGGUGCACACAAAUCACAAACUCCUUGUGGAGAUCAGAGAAGCACUUGCACAAGGCGUGUCUCGCCUUCCAACCCGUAAGUUCUGGACAGUGCCAGGCUUGUUGGGCACACACCUUAUACGCUGAGCCAUCCCUCUGGCCCUGUGUUCUGUAUUACAAGUAAGUUUCAACACUUUUUUUAAUAUGUAAGAAUUCUUUCCAUCUUUGUUUCCAGUAUAAACUCCCUCUUCUUGGACACUGUGCACACUUCUGUUGGGUUGUACAGCAUGGCAUUGCUACAUUUUACACACAAAUGAUCUGACAAAUCUCAAUACUCUUUCCCGUGAAUGUAUUCUCUUUAUAUUUGCUUGAAGUGGCUAUGUUAGUCUUAAUUUAUCAAGAUUUCUUAAAGUAGAAAGAGGCGAGUCUACCAAUCUUUAAUACUCUUUUGGGUUUUAAGUCAUUCUUGAGAAGGAAGGGCUUGUCCUAUUGUAAGAUUAUCAAAUAGUUUACAUUCUCCCUUGAGUACUUUUUACUUUUUAGUUUUUAACACAAAAUGGAAUAAAAUUGGUAAAAAUGAUAAGGACACCUUCCUCCAUCUCUCUCUCUCUCUCUCUCUCUCUCUCUCUCUCUCUCUCUCUUCCCCUCCUUCCCCUUCCCUCCCCUGUGCAUCUCUGUAUAUGCUACAGGAUCUAGCAUAUUCUAUAAUUUUCCUGAACACUGAUGGCAUACCUCAUUUCCAAUCUGAAAUUUUUUGUAUCUUUUUUUUACACAAUGUUACUUAUUAAGACAUCCAUAUUUUUCACAAAAUUCUAACAGUUUAACAUUUUAUCAAAUUUAACAGGGUAAAAUAUUUGAGUGUGGUAAAACUGGAAGCUGAAAUCUCUUAUCUGGAGAUUACUUUAGAAAUUCUGACAGCUCUCUGUACCCAAAUCCCUUGAAGGAGACAGUUGGACUCUCAGAAGUACAGACAAUCCUGAGAGCUCAGAGGAGAGAACUACUGCUGCUAACAUUCCUGGCCCAAGAGGAACCUGCCUAGUGCCCUUUGGGCACAGGAAGUUGGUAGCAGUCAGGGGCAGGACCCUUUCUGUUUAUGCUGGUGCUCAUAGCUGAAAGCUAGUCACCAGGAGAGCUGAAACACCUGAGAGCAGAGGGAAGACCAACUCUUCUGCUCCAAGCAAUCUGUCUGGAGGCCUCAAGACACACAAACCCAGGAGCAGUCUGGGACAGGACACUUCUAGUUUCUGCCUGUGCAUACAGCUCUCUGUACCCAGAUCCAGGUGUAAGAAAACAGGUCUACAGAAGUGCUGACACACAGGCUUACAGAAGGGUGAAACCAUUGUGAGAGACAGCAAAGCAAGCUAAUACCAAGAGACAACCUGAUGAUGAGAAGCAAGCAUAGGACCCUAAGAAACAGAAACCAAGACUACUUGGCAUCAUCAAAGCCCAGUUCUCCCACCAAAGCAAAUAAUGAAUAUCCAAACACACCAGAAAGCAAGAUUUAGAUUAAAAAUCACAUCUUAUGAUGAUGAUAGAGGACUUCAAGAAGGACAUAAAUAAAUCCCUUAAAGGCAUACAGGACAACACAGGUAAACAAGUAGAAACCCUUAAAGAGGAAACACAAAAAUUCUUUAAAGAAUUACCGGAAAAUACAACAAAACAGGUAAAGGAAUUGAAAAAAUACAAUCCAUGAUUAAAAAAUGGAAAAAGAUAAAAUCACAGAGGGAGACAACUCUGGAGAGAGAAAACCUAGGAAAGUUAUCAGAAGUCAUAGAUGCAAGCAUCACCAACAGAAUACAAGGGAUAGAAUAGAGAAACUGAGGAGCAGAAGAUACCAUAAAAAACAUUGAUACAACUGUCAAAGAAAAUGUAAAAUGCAAAAAGCUCUUAACCCAAACCAUACAAGAAAUCCAGGACACAAUGAGAAGAUCAAACCUAAGGAUAAUAGGUAUAUAAGAGAGCGAAGACUCUAAAUUAAAGGACCAGUAAAUAUCUUUAACAAAACUAUGCAAGAAAACUUCCCUAAGCUAAAGAAAGACAUGCCCAUAAUCAUACAAGAAGCCUAUAGAACUCCAAAUAGAUUGGACAAGAGAAGAAAUUCCUCCCAUCACAUAAUAGUCAAAACACCAAACAUACAAAACAAAGAAAGAAUAUUAAAAGCAGUAAGGGGAAAAUAUCAAGUAACCUAGAAAGGCAGACCUAUCAAAAUUAUACAAGACUUCUCACCAGAGACUAUGAAAGCCAGAUGAUCCUGCCCAGAUGUCAUACAGACCCUAAGAGAACACAAAUGCCAGCCCAGGUUACUGUAUCCAGCAAAACUCUCAAUUAACAUAGAUGGAGAAACCAAGAUAUUCCAUGACAAAACAAAAUUUACACAAUAUCUUUCUUCAAAUCCAGCCCUAAAAAAGUUAAUAGUCAGAAAACUCUAACACAAGGAUGGAAAGUACACCCUACAAAAAGCAAGAGAGUAAUCUCCUUGCAACAAACACAAAAGAGAGCCGUACAAACAGAAUUCCACCUCUAACAACAGAAAUAACAGGAAACAACAAUCACUUUUCCUUAAUAUCUCUUAACAUCAAUACACUGAAUUUCCCAGUAAAAAGACUUAGAUCAACACACUGGAUAUAUGAAGAGGACUCAGCAUUUUGCUACAUACAGGAAACACACCUCAGUGACAAAGGUAGACACUACCUUAGAGUAAAAGGCUAGAAAACAAUUUUCCAAGCAAAUCUUUCCAAGAAACUGGAGUAGCCAUUCAAAUAUUAAAUAAAAUCCACUUUCAACCAAAAGUUAUCAAAAAAGAUAAGGAAGGAAACUUCAUAUUCAUCAAAGGAAAAAUCCACCAAGAUGAACUCUCAAUACUAAAUAUAUAUGCUCCAAAUGUAAGUGUACCUACAUUCACAAAAGAAACCUUACUAAAGCUCAAAGCAUACAUUAUACCUCACACUGUAAUAGUGGAAGAUUUAAACACCCUACUCUCAUCAAUGGGCAGAUCAUGGAAACAGAAACUAAACAGAGACAUAGAGAAGCUGACAGAAGUAUAAACCAAAUGGAUUUAACAGAUAUGUAUAGAACAUUUCAUCCCAAAACAAAAGUAUAUGCCUCCUCAGUACCUCAUGGUACCUUCUCCAAAACUGACCACAAUUUUUUUUACAAAACAGGCCUCAACAAGAUGAUUGAAAUAAUCCCAUGCAUCCUAUCAGAUCACCAUGGACGAAGGCUGCUCUUCAAAAACAACAAUAAUGAGAAAGACCACAUAUACACGGAAGCUGAACAAUGCUCUACUCAAUGAUAACAUAGUCAAGGAAGCAAUAAAGAAAGAAAUUAAAGACUUUUCAGAAUUUAAUAAAAAUGAAGGUAUAACAUACCCAAACUUAUGGGACACAAUGAAAGCAGUUCUAAGAGGAAAACUCAUUGCUCUGAGAGACUCCAAAAAGAAACUGGACAGAGUAUACAUUAGCAGUUUGACAGCACACCUGAAAGCUCUAGAACAAAGAAAGUAACAAAGAAGCAAGUAACACCCAAGAGGAGUAGAUGGCAGAAAAUAACCAAAUUCAGGGCUGAAAUCAACCAAUAGAAACAAAAAGAACUAUACAAAGAAUCAACAAAACUAGGAACUGGUUCUUUGAGAAAAUCAACAAGAUAAAUAAACCUUUAGCCUGUCUAACCAGAGAGCACAGAGUGUGUGUCCAAAUUAACAAAAUUAGAAAGGAAAAGGGAGACGUAACAGAAUCUGAGCAAAUUCAAAAAUCAUCAAAUCCUACUACAAAAGUCUAUAUUCAACAAAACUGAAAAAUUUGGAUGAAAUGAACAAUUUCUAGAGAGAUACUAGGUACCAAAUUAAAUCAGGAUCAAAUAAACCAUCUAAACAGUCCCAUAACUCCUAAAGAAAAAGAAGCAGUUAUUAAAAGUCUCCCAACUGGGGUUGGGGAUUUAGCUUAGCGGUAGAGCGCUUGCCUAGCAAGCGCAAGGCCCUGGGUUUGGUCCCCAGCUCCGAAAAAAAGAAAAAAAAAGAUAGGUACACAUUAAAAGUCUCCCAACCAAAAAGAGUCCAGGACAAGAUGGGUUUAGUGUAGAAGUCUAUCAGACCUUCAUAGAAGACUUAAUACCAAUACUGUCCAAACUAUUCCACAAAAUAGAAACAGAAGGAAAACUACCCAAUUCCUUCUUUGCUUAUACCUAAACAACACAAAGACCCGACAACUAAAGAGAACUUCAGAUCAAUUUCUCUUAUAAAUAUCGAGGCAAAAAUUCUCAAUAAAAUUCUUGCAAACCGAAUCCAAGAACACAUCAAAAGGACCAUUCACGGUGAUCGAGUAGGCUUCAUCCCAGUGCUGCAGGGAUGGUUCAAUACAGGGAAAUCCAUCAACUUAAUCCUCUAUGUAAACUAAGUCAAAGAUGAAAAGCAUAUGAUCAUCUCAUUAGACGCUGAGAAAGCAUGUGGCAAAAUUCAACAGUCCUUCAUGUUAAAAGUCUUGGAAAGAUCAAGAAUUCAAGGCCCAUACUUAACAUAGUAAAAGUAAUAUACAGCAAAACAGUAGCCAAAAUCAAACCAAAUCGAGAGAAACUUGAAGCAAUUCCACUAAAAUCAGGGACUAGACAAAGCUUCCCACUCUCUCCCUACUUAUUUAUAGUAGUACUUGAAGCCCUAGCCAGAGCAAUCAGACAGCAAAAGAAGCUCAAAGGGAUACAAAUUGGAAAGGAAGAAGUCAAAAUAUCACUAUAUGCAUAUGAUAGCAUACGUAAGUGACCCCAAAACAUUCACCUAGAACUAUUAAGCCUGAUAAACAACUUCAGCAAAGUGGCUGGGUAUAAAAUUAACACAAACAAAUCAGUAGCAUUCCUCUACUUAAAAGAUAAACAGGCUGAGGAAAAAAAUUAGGAAAAUGACACCCUUCACAACAGUCCCAAAUAACAUGAAAUACCUCAGUGUUACUGUAACCAAGCAAGUGAAAGAUCUGUAUGACAAGAACUUUAAGUCUUUGAAGAAAGAAAUUGAAGAAGAUCUCAGAAGAUGACCUCCCAUGCUCAUGGAUUGGCAGAUUAAUAUAGUAAAAAUGGUCAUUUUGUCAAAAGCUAUCUACAGAUUAAAUGCAAUCCCCAUCAAAAUUCUAACUCAAUUUUCAUAGAGUUAGAAAGAGCAAUUCACUAGGAAUAACAACAACAACAACAAAAACAAAAACAGUUUAGUGAAAACUAGCCUCAACAAUAAAAGAACUUCUGGGAGAAUAACCAUCCCUGUCCUCAAGCGGAAUUACAGAGCAAUAGUGAAAAAACUGUAUGGUAUUGGUACAGAAACAUGUAGGCAGAUCAGUGGAAUAGAAUUGAAGACACAGAAAUGAACCCACAUGCCUAUGGUCACUUGAUCUUUGACAAAGGAGCUAAAACCAUCCAAUGGAAAAAAGAUAGAAUGUUCUACAAAUGGUGCUGGUUCAACUGGAGGUCAGCAUGUAGAAGAAUGCAAACUGACCCAUUCUUAUCACCCUGUACAAAGCUUAAGUACAAGUGGAUCAAGGACCUCCAUGUAAAACCAGAUACACUCAAACUAAUAGAAGAAAAAUGGGGAAGAGCCUUGAACACAUGGGCAUAGGGAAAAAUUUCCUGAACAAAACACCAAUGGCUUAUGCUCCAAGAUGAAGAAUCGACAAACGGGACCUAAUAAAAUUGCAAAGCUUCUCUAAGGCAAAGGACACUGUCGUUAGGACAAAGCAGUAACCAACAAAUUGGGAAAAGAUCUUUACCAAUCCUACAUUCAAUAGAUGGCUAACAUUCAAUAUAUCCAAAGAACUCAAGAAGUUAGACUCCAGAGAGCCAAAACCCUAUUUAAAAAGGGGUAUAGUGCUAAACAAAGAAUUCUCAACUGAGGAAUAUCAAAUGACUGAGAAGUUUCUAAAGAAAUGUUCAACAUCCUUAGUCAUCUGGGAAAUGCAAAUCAAAACAACCCUGAAAUUCCACCUCACACCAGUCAGAGUAGCUAAGAUCAAAAACACAGAUGACAACAGAUUCUGGUGAGGAUGUGGAGAAAGAGGAACACUCCUUCCCUUUUGGUGGGAUUGCAAGCUGGUACAACUGCUCUGGAAAUCGGUCUGGAGAUUCCUCAGAAAAUUGGCUAUAGUACUACCUGAGGACCCAGCUAUACCACUCCUGGGUACAUACCCAAAUGAUGCUCCAACAUAUAACAAGGACACAUGCUCCACUAGCAGCCUUAUUUAUAAUAGCCGGAAGAUAGAAAGAACCCAGAUGCCCUUCAAGAGAGGAAUGGAUACAGAAAAUGUACAUCUAGACAAUGGAGUACUACUCAGCUACUAAAAACAAUGACUUCAUGCAACACAUGGGGAAAUGGAUGAAACUAGAAAAUGUCAUCCUGAGUGAGGUAACCCAAUCUACAAAAACAAAACAAACAAACAAACAAAAAAACAAAAAAAAACACAUAUGGUAUGCACUCACUUAUAAGAUAGAAUUACCCAAAAUAGUAUCCAUAGACCACAUAAAGCUCAAGGAAAAGGAUGACUCAAGUGCAGAUGCUUCAGUCCUUCUUAAAAGGGGGAACAAAAAUAUCCAUAGCAGGGGACGUGGAUACAAAGUUUGGAGCAGAGACUGAAGGAAUGGCCAUUCAGAACCUGCUCAACCUGGGGAUCCAGCCCAUAUAUAUGCAGCCACCAAACCUAGACAAUAUUGAUAUAGCCAAGAAGUGCAUGCUGAUAGGAGCCUGAUAUAGCUGUCUCCUGAGAGAAUCAGUGAGAGCUUGACAAAUACAGAGGUGAAUGCUAGCAGCAAACCAUUGAAGUGAGAACAGGGUCCCCACUGGAGGAGUUAGAGAAAGAAUUGAAGGAGCUGAAGGGGCUUGCAACCCCAUAAAUACAAUACCAACCAACCAGAGCUCCAUGGAACUAAACCACUAUCCAAAGAGCACACAUGGACAGACCCAUGGCUCCAGCUGCAUAUGUAGCAGAGGAUGGCCUUGUUGGGCACCAAUGGGAGGAGAAGCCCUUGGUCCUGCCAAGGCUGGACCCCCCAGUGUAGGGGCAAUGUCAGAGUGGAAAGGCAGGAAGGGGGUUUGUUUGGGGAGGGUAACACCCUCAUAGAAGAAGGGGGAGUGGGGAAAGGAUAGGGGGCUUGUGGCCAGGAAACCGAGAAAAGGAAUAACAUUUGAAAUGUAAAUGAAAAAGUUCCAAUAAAAAUAAAAUAAAAUAAAAUUAGAAAUAGAACGAAAAGAAAGAAAAAGAUAGACACAGGUGGCAAAAGAGAAUAAAUUUCAAGUUACCAAUUAAAAAAAAAACAAAGAAAUUCAGUCCCCAAAUAUUCCCAUCUCUACUGCUUUCAGAUGUAAAAAUGUUUGUCUGAACUCAAAUUCAAAUCCUCUCCCAUACACUUAUGAAUUACGUAGCUCCAGACAAGGAAACUUUCCUGAGAAUAUAGCAUUGUUUUGAGUGUGAGAAGAUGUGCAAAUAUAUUAAUGUUCAUUAUUAAAAUUAGUGAUUACUGAAUUCUUCUAAAGUCUUAGCCCGUCAACUGGUUGCAAGCAGCAGUUGUAAUUCUCUUCUAGUGUUUCUGGAACCCCAAACAAGGCACUGAGAAGUUUCAGAAUCUUCACCAUGGAGAUGUUGUACCAGAAAUAGCUCUGCUCCAGAUUUCCUUGGGGCAAAUUACGAGAUUCAUGUGACAAAGUUUAGUUAUAGCCUAGUGGCAGCUAUGUUUAACAUUCUUACUUCAUGCACCUACUCAAAAAUAGGACCCCAGCCUUUGCAGAAUAAAUGGUUGGAAAGGUGUUCUUGAUUCUAUUUGAAUUUUGAUGUCGAGAGUCUCAGUGCUGUAAGACUUAGAGCUGGUGGAGUGAUCUUUUCUACAUAUCUUUGCAAAUACAAUUGCAUUUUUGGGGUGACUAUCUAGAAGAGCAAAGCAAGUAGACCAUUUGUAUGUGUAUGUCUUGUACCUCCAGAGGUACAAGAUCUUCCAAAAAUGGCCACUUGUACAAUGGUAAGCCUAGGAGCCUGGAAAGGGAUGAGCUCAACCAACCGCAAAUGUCAGAAUAAGAGGAAUCAAUGGUCUCCUACCAGUCCUGAAGGCCUGGGAAUGACCGGCAGAGCUACUGGUGUGAGAGCAUGAUGAGAGGAGGCAGGAGCCCAAGGGUGUUGGUGGCUGUGAUAGGUGUACUGGCCUGUGGAUUGUGCAUGUGCUGGCAGGCUGCCUUCCUCUCUUUACCUCAGCUGAGUUUUGAGUCGCAGACCAUUGGCUUGCUGUUCCAACUAAGGGAAGGUCUCUCUCUAAGUUUCUGUACCACAUGUUCUCCGGAAGGACCCUAAGAGUCACACACAGAGGUGUGCCUGACUAAUCUAGAUGCCUUCCAAACCAAAUGGACAAUCAAAACGAACCGUUACUAACUCAAGAGAAACCAAUUUCUUAUAUUGUUUUCAAGUGGCCCUUCAACGAAACCACCUCACAUGUAUCUCUUAUUUUUUUCAAGUUAUACCUAGAACAAAGGCUUGGGUAAUUUUUCUCAGUAUCAAACUCUAGAGAGCAAAAUAAGAGAAAUGACUAUAACUUUCUUUUGGUGAUUAUAAUGUUUCUUUUGGUUUCAGUUUUUUUCCUCCAUUGUGGAAAUGAUAAAUUGCUGAUCAUUACCCAUGUUUUGUAUUCCAGAAAACUAAUGAUUGAUUGUAUUAUAUUUAUCUUUUUCUUAUGAAAAUACCAGUUCCUUUAAUGUUCUCCCCAAAUGUUUAUUAAGAUUAUUCAGCUAGGAAAGAAUGAGAGAAUUAGAACCAAUUAUGUUAAUAAGACAUGAGGUGGGUUAAUCAGGGCAACGCAAAGAGGAAUAAUAAAUAGAUUUUGAUGCAUGCACUUCAUGGGAAAUUCAAUAUCCAGACUUUCUAAUUACUUUAGACACCAACUCUUGAUAAAAUACAGCACUUACAGGUAAGCCAGUAGCUGUUUGAUGGUAACUACGUAAGUUGAAUGUAAGAAUUAAUGACAAAAGAGAAAUGUCAAUCUUGAUAUUUAAUUCCCUUUCCAUGGUGGAUGGGCAUCUAAUAAAAUCACAGAAUUUAAGUCCUAGACUAAAUAUUUAGGCUUUGCACCUGGAAAAUUUAAAACUCAACUGUUUGCCUAUUUUCCCAGAUGAGUCAAUGUUGGAGAAGAACCAACCUUUAGCCUCAUGUUAAUUUCAUCCUAUCGAGUUAUUAAUGCAAAGUGUUCCUGCAGGGCAAUUAGAACUGCAGACUUGACUUUUGCUAUAUCUAGAAAAUAUUAGGAAACAGAUAUUAGGUAAAGGAUAGCGGAUUUACUUUGUUUCUCUCCACUUUCCCUCUAACAGUGUUCCAACUGUGUAGAAAAGAACAAACGAAAAGCCAAGGCACACAAAUGAAUUCAUUUCCUUCCAAGGGAAGAUGACCGGAAGUGUGUGGCAUCUCAUUGGAGGCUAGAUGAUGGGAGUGUGUGGAAUCUCCUCUUUGGAGGCUAUGAAGGGAGUGUGUGGGAAUUCCUCAUUGGAGGCUGAUUAGGGAAGUGUGUGGGAUCUCCUCAUUGGAGGCUAUGAAGGGAGUGUGUGGGAAUUCCUCCUUAGAGGCUGAUUAGGGAAGUGUGUGGGAUCUCCUCAUUGGAGGCUGAUCUGUCCUUUGGCAUUCUGGACGAAGAGCUUUUCAUUGUUUCUGUUUCCCCAACAUGAUUCCUGAGGAUGUUUUAGUUUGAUAUCUAUUGCUUUGGAGUCCUUCCUUUAAGAGUCCCAGAGUCAAGGGGGGUUCUCUUUACAGUAUGUCCCACUCUCCCACUCCCGCUGGGACUUUAGCACAGGCUCACAGUGACAAGUGUGCUUAUAUUACACACUUCUUUUGUUUUGUAUGGUUUUGCCCCUUUACUUAGGAUAACAAUUUAAGAGUGCUUUAAGAGUGGUCCCUGGCAGCCAGUGUGCAUAUGCCGAUAUCACACCACCCAGGUACUACAAGACGAUUUCAUUUCCAAUUCUCUGUUCUACUUGAGUCUAAGUAAAGCUUUGCUCUGAAUUUAGCUUCUCUGACCUCUUACCUACAGUAGUCAACCCAUAACCUUCUCCAGACUGGUAUCAUGAUAUGGCUGAGUGCAGAUAGCCACCAAUUUUCUCCAUAAUAAGCUGAGUCAGAGAAGUGGCUCUUUCAUGGAUUGAGUUUCAUGGAUUGGAAUUGGGAUAAAUAAUCAGAAGUCCUGUGUUGAAAUGGGCUCACAAUUAGCAAGCCUCCUUCUAAACAUGUCCCUAGAAUCUUGAUAACCCCCAAUCAAAGGUCUUUAAGUACAUCCCUCAAGUCACAUGGGGAUUCCUUUUUGACACAAAGUACAAGCUAUUGUUCCAGAUGGUGGAUGGGUAUUCUGUUGAGAGCAGAACAUAGACACCCUAAAUGGGAGGCAAUUUUGCAUACUGAAGUAUUCCAGACAAACACACCAUGUGACUCUUCUUCCCAGGUGCCAGCAAAGCUUUAUUUUCCUUCGUGGCUGAAGAAUUAAUUAUUUAUAAACCUGAUACAUGAGUGCCAGGGCAGAUAACAUUCUUCUCUGGUAAGCAGGGUAAGGCUCAUGGGUGGAUUGAGUGGCAGAUACUGGUAUUGAUUAAUGACUUGUUUAGAGCAGCUCUCUGCCGUACUCCUAUCUCUUCCCUGACACAUCCCAGACUUUCUUUACAGUGAUCUUAGCUGUUGCUCUGGAAGAGGGCAGACAUAGAAGGCUUAUUGUAGCUACCUCCUCAUCGAUCCAAUUUUCAGCCACUUCAGUAAUUUUGUUCUAAACCUGUCUGCUCUCUGUGCUACUCCAAACUGAGGGGUAGGGAUGGUAUUAGGAGUGAAUGUUGGGGUUGACUUAUCAGGAAUGUGUUUAUUCAUAACUGUCCCCUGCUUCCAACGCACACUUGUAAAUGAGGAGUUUGCGAGACAGAAAGGAGAUGGCUUUCUCAAUAUACCCCUCACUCCAAGGAUAGUUUGUUGGAACAAAGUUACUUAGUGUUUGGUAACUAUGAUCUAAAAGACAUGUCCUAAGGCAAUGCCUCUGUAAAGUUUUAGAAUGGGUUAAAGAGGUAUAAUUUAUCAUCCAUUAAUCAUCGAUUAGUCAGGGCUUUAUAUGAGACGAUGGUUAUAAGGUAUCCGGCUCCAGGAAUGCUUGCUUUUCCUGGCAAUCUUCUUGUGAGAUGAAAACUCCUAAAAGCAACCCAGCCACAUUCUUGACAUCCAAAGCUGGCUUUUGACUGACAGAAGGUACCUGUCUGUCUCUGAUGCACAAAGAUGGAGCUUAGCCUUUUGCCAGCCUCUCUUUUUCCCUCCUUUUUUGACAAGCCCGCAUGCUCGAGGAGGCCAGUGGGCUGGCAUAAUGCCUAAAGCAACAGGUAACAAGUUUCUUUGAUAUAAGAAAAUAAUUUACAUAGCAUUUCAUAUCCAUAGAUCCUAAUUAUAUUUUUGCCAAUUCUCUGUGCAUAUGUCUUCUCUGGAAAAUUGGGUUAAAUGAAAAGAAUAAUGAUUUAUGAAGGUAGAGAGUCUGGAAGUUUCCAAAUCCAUAUUUGGAGACUAUAAGAAACCCUGUACAUUUGGGGGAAGUCUCUUGAGUCUCUGUGUCUUUUCUUUCCUGACAUGAAUGAAGAAGAACUGAAGUGUCCAGUGUGGUUAAAUCAUAAAGUUCUGUGUAAUCUAUUGGGGGGGGGGGUGCAGCCCAUUUUUCUUUCCAUAACUUCAACCUUACUUCUUGUAAAGGAUUUAUAUUCAGAAUAGCCUACUUAUAAGUUGGAAAGAGGAGAUAAAAGAAAGGAUUUUCUUCUGAUGACCAACACAAACUCAAAUCAGAAAUAAUUGUAUAUGCUGAAAAUGUCUCCUAUUUAAAAAAAAAAAACUCUCAAACUCCAGGCUAGCAUGGCCGCAGGGUCUAGGAGGAAAAAAAUUUUUUUUCAGCCAGCUACCUCCUCCUGUCAAUCCAGGUGGCUUAGGUAACAGUCUAAAAAACAACGGCAAAAACUGCCUCAAAUGGUUUUCCCAGUAGCUAGGUAACAUCAUCUUUAUCUCUUAAUGCAGAACACUGUUGAGCAGUCAGACAUUUACAAAUUACCUUUUACUCGAGAUGCCGUAUGUAUUAUAGGUGUGGUUACCAGAGGCUGAAGAGUCUAAUGAACAGCUGGACAGCCCGGCUUCAGGUAAGCCUCCAUCUCGAUUGCUUUAGUCUUGCUGUGACUAAACUAUGUGACACAAAUCAUUUAGGUAGUAAAGGAGCGCUAGUUUGCCUCACCGUUUCGAAGAGAGUUCAGUGGGAACAUGUAUUAGAGAGAACUUACAUCUUAAUAGACCUGGAAGCAAAAAAACUUGAAAACCAGGAAUAAUUACAGCCCCUACAGCUCUCCUUUAGUAGCGCCCUGCUGGCACCCAGGCCUAACUUCCUCAGGAUGCCACAGCAUUUUAAACAGAGCCACAGGCUGUGGAUAAAGCAUUCAAAAAUAUAAGCCUAUAGGAUUUAUUUCAGAUUUAAAAUGACAGUUUGUCCCUACCUAAUGCCACUGGAUACCAGUGUCCAGAGCUUAGAGACAUUGUUGAUGUCUACAGUGUAGAACAAGAUGGUAAAUGGUUUCUGGCUAAUGAGGACCACAGUUGUUGGAAACAAUUCACAGACACCUGACAUGCAUAGAGUCAGUAGCUGAAGUGUGUCUAGUUACAUCACGCAAAGUAAGAGUUCAAAUUUUUGAGAUCAACCAAUUAUGCUUCUCUUUUUUAUCCAAUGGAAAUGAUGAAGCACAGAUAAGAUAAAUAUAACCUACAUGGUCACUUUUCUUGUAUGGAAGCUAGGCAUGGGGUAAGCCUUCUAAAAGUCUAUUCACCUUCCUCCGUAGACAUAAUUCCUCUCCUUCCAAGGGCCUCUUUUCUCAGCCACUUUCCUCCUCCAUUUUAGGGUCACUGAGAGAUGCAGAUCACACCCAGUUUUCUACUUUUUGCUUUCAAUGCCUCCGUUGAUGUGACAAGGUGUGUGAGUGGUGCCAAAAUUAACACAUCACAACUCCAUGUCUUACAGCAAGUACUACCUGGUAUCUGCUUCCUGUUGUUUCUUGUUUCUAUGGCAAUGAGGGUGUUGACUGCCUCUAUGGCCUGUUCUCCUCCUUUGCUAUUUUAGUCAAGGUACAUGUAGGUCUAUAUUUCUCACUUGCUAAUCAGAGUCACAUUUGUCUUUCGAUCAUUCAGAGGGCACGCAGCAGCUGAUGUUUCUGUGGGCAGGUGAGAAGAGCCCCGAUUGUCUAGAGAACUCAGGCUUCACUUGGACUUUCUAGUUCAGGCUCUAUCUCUCUACGUCCCUGUUUUCUUUCCUGUGUACCUUUAAUGCCAAAUUCAAAAUUUUGUAACGAGAGUGCUGUAUUUAUUCAUAAAAGAAUAACACUCUUUAGAAAUAUAUAAAACUCGUACCUACAAUGCAGUAUCUAGAAUGAAGAAGAGGAAGCCUAGAUGAGUUGUCUGUAUAAUCUCACAGCCACCAAGCUAGAGAAGGUCCUGAACUUGGGAGAGAGAGAGAAAGCAGAAGUGGCGGAUUGGUAAAUGCAGGCUAAGCUUUGGGCUGGGUCAGAGCGGGAUGCAGCUGGACCACAUUGGAGCCAACAGCGGAUUUUUGCUUCACAAAGCUCACAGCCCAUGGCUUUUGCUCUUCCAGACCAGAGGCUAAUUCUUCCUGCUCUUCACUUUUCAUUUCUCUUUCCAUUUUCACCUUUAUGGUUUCCUGGUGAAUUACAAACAAGAACCUCUUUAUAGUCUGUCUUGACUUUACAUCAUCCACCUCAUUAAAACCUUUUCCUAAUGCAUAUGAUUCCCAAUAGACUUCCAUAUUUUCUAUCAGAAUCUCUUUCUUCCAUUAAAGCAGACCCUAUUCCCUUUUCAGUUCCAGUCUCGGAUUCAGGUCUAUCAUCCUUGCAAAGAGGAUGAUGGUAACUCAGAUCUGAAUACAUACCACGUGACCCCUGCUUCCCCUAUCAAGAGUUAACACUUGUUUCCCCAUGGUUUGAGUACAGACUGGUCUUAUGAUUUGAUUUUGGGGCAAUAGAAUAUGGGAGACCCUGCAUCAGAAGAAUUGUGAGAUUUCUGCUCUCACCCUUUGGCCACUCUGAAACCACCAUACCAAGAAGCCUAGAGAGGCUACACUACUCAGCUACCUACUGUACAGAGCGAUGCUAAUUGACAGAGACAAGGAAAGGGCUAUCCUCCAGCUGUCAAGUGAGGGCAAUGGGAGAACGAUCCUUCAAAGAUAGCAAAUCUCGGAAGCAUGAGCAAGUAACAGCGAGCUAUUUUAGGCAGCUGUGCUUGGGGUGGUGUGGUAAGGCCUCCAAGCCAAAACUGAGGCAAGAUCUCUGGUUGCGUGUGACUUUCAACGUUCUCAUUUGUUUGUCUUUGAGUAUAACUGUGAAUUCACCAACGGGCAGGUGGCAGUCACAAUUAAGGGAGAAAAUAGCAGCUGAGUGGGUAGAACCCCUGGGCCUGCCCCUGCUGAAGCAAUUCCUCCCCUGAAAUAGCAACAGAGUUGGCAGCAGCAGUUUUCCUGUGGAAGACAGAUUUUUUUUUCACUUACGGAACAAAUAUAUUUAGCAGCAGUCCCAAUUUUAUUCCUGUCCAUAAUUGGUAAUUAAUAUCAAGAUUAAUGUUCAAGUUGCUCCCCCAUUCUAGGUUUUCUCUUGUGGAACUUGGGUAUUAUGGGGAUUAAAUUGCCCACAUUUCAGGUCUGUCUGCAAAGUCCAAAUGUGCCAUCUUGAGGUAGAAGGAGAAGGAGAUGACCACUAGAAACAGAUUUACCAAUGAGUCAGGAGGCACAGCUAGAGUGUUGUCAGACAAAUGACCUGUAAGUCUAGAACCAAGCAGUUCCCAGCGGUGGGAUUUGAGGUAUUUAUGGAACCAGUCAGAGAAAAGUAAAGAUCCUCAGAGUCAAGGCUCUGAAGGUUAAAAGCUUCAGCCCUUUCAGUGAACGGUAGAAGAACGGAUUCUGCUGAGCUGAGAGCGCUCACACUGUCUGAAAGUGAGGAAUUAUUGCCCUGCUCACUCUGUGAGGUUUCAGGAAUAAAAGUCUAGCAUUCCUAGGACCUCCCCACCCUAAUCUUUCAAGUGAGGCAGAAAUUUUUAUUAUUACACUAAAUAAUUGAGUUUCUAAUGUUACCUGGUGAUUUAAAGAAUAUAAAGUCUUAGGAGGGCUUCACACAUGUCUGAGGGAGACUAGUUUGUCACUUUGAGAAAUACUGUCAAAUGAGAUUCACAGGAUUGAGAGCUGGUAGACCCACUAUGGGUACCCAUUGCCUGAUAGACCCAUAGUGCUGGGUCUGGCUUGACUAGGAAGCUGUUAACUUUUAUCUGCUACUGUAUUGUUUGCUUUUCUAUCUCCAUUAUGGAAUCGCAACACCUGAGCAAACAUCUUAAUGUGAGAAGGAUUUGGUAUAACUCAUGGUUUCAAAUAUUUAGUUCACAUUUGGGCCCACUGAUUCCAAGCUACAGUAGAACACCAUAGUAGCUGCAGUAUGUGGUUGGGUAACUGCCCCACUUGACAAAGACAAGAAGGAGGAAGAGAAGGAGGAGGAGGAGUAUAAG